rnacentral:rRNA from 1 species
AGUGAACGCUGGCGGUAGGCCUAACACAUGCAAGUCGAACGGCAGCACAGUAAGAGCUUGCUCUUACGGGUGGCGAGUGGCGGACGGGUGAGGAAUACAUCGGAAUCUACUUUUUCGUGGGGGCUAACGUAGGGAAACUUACGCUAAUACCGCAUACGACCUACGGGUGAAAGCAGGGGAUCUUCGGACCUUGCGCGAUUGAAUGAGCCGAUGUCGGAUUAGCUAGUUGGCGGGGUAAAGGCCCACCAAGGCGACGAUCCGUAGCUGGUCUGAGAGGAUGAUAAGCCAAACUGGAACAGAGAAACGGUCCAGACUCCUACGGGAGGAAGAAGUGGGGAAUAUUGGACAAUGGGCGCAAGCCUGAUCCAGCAAUACCGCGUGGGUGAAGAAGGACUUCGGGUUGUAAAGCCCUUUUGUUGGGAAAGAAAAGCAGCAGGUUAAUACCCCGCUGUUCUGACGGUACCCAAAGAAUAAGCACCGGCUAACUUCGUG